UGCAGUCGAACGAGAAAGGGGAGCAAUCCCUGAGUACAGUGGCGUACGGGUGAGUAACACGUGGAUGAUCUACCUUCUGGUGAGGAAUAACCCUGGGAAACCGGGGCUAAUACCGCAUAAGCCCGAGAGGGGAAAGUCGAAAGACGCCGGAAGAGGAGUCCGCGGCCGAUUAGCUAGUUGGCAGGGUAAAAGCCUACCAAGGCGACGAUCGGUAGCCGGCCUGAGAGGGCACACGGCCACACUGGCACUGAAACACGGGCCAGACUCCUACGGGAGGCAGCAGUGGGGAAUCUUGCACAAUGGGGGAAACCCUGAUGCAGCGACGCCGCGUGAGCGAUGAAGCCCUUCGGGGUGUAAAGCUCUUUCGGCAGGGAAGAUGAUGACGGUACCUGCAGAAGCAGCUGCGGCUAACUACGUGCCAGCAGCCGCGGUAAUACGUAGGCAGCAAGCGUUGUUCGGAGUUACUGGGCGUAAAGGGUGUGUAGGCGGUUGCUUAAGUUUGGUGUGAAAUCUCCCGGCUCAACCGGGAGGGUGCGCCGAAUACUGAGUGACUCGAGUGCGGGAGAGGAGAGUGGAAUUCCUGGUGUAGCGGUGAAAUGCGUAGAUAUCAGGAGGAACACCGGUGGUGUAGACGGCUCUCUGGACCGUAACUGACGCUGAGACACGAAAGCGUGGGUAGCAAACAGGAUUAGAUACCCUGGUAGUCCACGCCCUAAACGAUGCAUAUUUGGUGUGGGCCGUUCAGUCGUCCGUGCCGGACUAACGCGUUAAAUAUGCCGCUGGGGAGUACAGUCCAAGGCUGAAACUCAAAAUUGAGGGGCCCGCACAAGCGGGGACAUGGUUCAAUUCACGCACC
rnacentral:rRNA from 1 species